rnacentral:rRNA from 1 species
AGAUGCGAGAGUAGAGCAUAUCAAUAAGCGGAGGAAAAGAAACUAACAAGGAUUCCCUUAGUAACGGCGAGUGAAGCGGGAAGAGCUCAAAUUUGAAAUCUUCAAGGUUCUACCUUGACGAAUUGUAGUUUAAAGAAGUGUUUUCUGUUAGAUGAGUAGCAAAAGUUCCUUGGAAUGGGACAUCAUAGAGGGUGAGAAUCCCGUAUUUGGUUAUUCAUUCUAGCUUUGUGAUACACUUUCAAAGAGUCGGAUUGUUUGGGAAUGCAGGUCCAAAAUGGGUGGUAAAUUUCAUCUAAAGCUAAAUAUUGGCGAGAGACCGAUAGCGAACAAGUACCGUGAGGGAAAGAUGAAAAGAACUUUGAAAAGAGAGUUAAACAGUACGUGAAAUUGUCAAAAGGGAAGCGUUUGACACCAGUGUUGUUUUUCCGAAAAUCAAUUACGAAUGGCUUGAUUUUGUGUUGUAUUGACCUUAUCAGCUUUCUUCACUUUUUUCGAGUCUUUCUUAAUGCACUUUUCGGUUAACAAGUCAACAUCAAUUUCUUUUGUUGUAAAAGAGUAUUCGGAAGGUGGCUUUCUUUUCGGAGAAAGUGUUUAUAGCCCUAUACUUCUACAAUCGGAGAGAUUGAGGUCUGCAGCGUAGAUCCUUCGGGGUUAGAUACGAUUGUGCUAAGUUGUAGCUUUUCAUAGACAACUUGUUGACUAUGUUUAGUCAUGCGGCUUACUCGCUUAUGCUAUUUUACCUACGCUUAGGAUGUUGAGCGCAUGUCUCUCUCU